rnacentral:sRNA from 1 species
CGGGCUGGUCGUUAGACCCAGGUCCACCAAGAGGUGGGGGAAUCCCCC